CAGUAAUUAGCCAGAGACCAAAAUUCAAAUACACAAUGGAUUUUCGGGUGCAGGUAUUCAACUUCCUGCUGAUCAGUAUCACAGUGUCCAGUGGAGAAAUUAUACUCACCCAGUCUCCAACAAUUAUGGCUGCAUCUCUAGGAGAGAAGAUCACCAUCACCUGCAGUGCCAGCUCAAGUUUAAGUUAUAUGUACUGGUACCAGCAGAAGUCAGGCGCUUCUCCCAAACUCUGGGUACAUAGGACAUCCAACCUGGCUUCUGGAGUCCCAGAUCGCUUCAGUGGCAGUGGGUCUGGGACCUCUUAUUAUCUCACAAUCAGUACAAUGGAGGCUGAAGAUGCUGCCACUUAUUUCUGCCAUCAGUGGAGUAGUAGCCAGCCCACACAGUGAUACAGACUUGAACAGAAACCCUCUAAUUCCUCAGGGCCUAGCAACU